GUCAUUUUGAAAGUUAUGUUUGAAUACAAAAUAUUCAAUAUUGGAAAGUUGUUUCCAACUGCAAAUUUAGAGAGAGAUUAAAGGGAAAGUGGAACAUUCUUUUUCUUCUGUAUUUUGACUUUUUUCCUCAGUGCUCUUUUCUUAUUAAAAGCUCUGGGCUUCAUUGAACUAUUUCCUGUUUCCCUUGCUUAUCCACAGAUUUAGAUGCUUUAUGUUGACUUACUGGUUUUUGUUAAUGGUAUGCUGAUUAUGAAUGUGUGCACGUGGUAGCUGUUCCUUCCUGAAGAACAUUCCUGUUGAAAGGAUGCUGAUAGUCUCCUACUUGACAGUAUUGAUGUUCCACCACAUUUUCCACGGUUUUGAUAAUUGUGUCUUAUUACUCUUUCCAUGGGAAAUCCUAACAGCGGGAGACAGUAAUUUGGCUUAAUCAAUGAAGUCACAAAUCUGUUACCUCCUGUUAAGACUGUAGAAGUAUGUGAAAAAGCAGGAAAAGUCAAGUUCUGCUCUUGGUGCAUGACUUAUGUCUUUUGAAAAAACCCUAAGUAGCUAUAAAUGAUUUUACCACUGGCUUCAAGAGAUGUUUUUAUGAUCCAGUUUUUGAAUUGGGAGAUUGGUAUUCAGUCCUAGAGAGGAAACAAGCCUUCACUGGUUUCUCCUCCUGGUUUGCUAAUAAGUGUAUGAAAGUAUGUUCCUAUUGAUGGCACUGCAGUUAUUUUAGGAUGGUAUUAUAAAGUGAUCUUCAUUCACAAACAUAAAGUAUUUGUAAGGACAGAAAGAACCUGUCUUUCAUUCUAGUGUCCAUUCUCAUCUCUCUCUUAGAUGUGCGAGGAUAAAAUAGCCAGGAAAAAAGUAAAUUCUGUAAAAUGAUAGUGCCUUUCUGACAUGGCCCUGAGAGGAACAGAGAGGUCAGACAGCUUUAAAAUAAUAAUAAUAAAAAAACAGCUCACAUCCCCUCA
rnacentral:lncRNA from 1 species